GUCGGUAUGAUGGAAUAGGCAGACAUGAUGGUCUCAAAAACCAUUGGAGAAAUCCGUGCGAGUUCAAAUCUCGCUACCGACA
rnacentral:tRNA from 1 species